CAUUGCCUUUCUUCUGAUCUCUACUCUCAUUUCCAUCAAGAAAAUCUAGAACAUCUUCUGAUAUCAGAGACUAAUCUAAUCAAAUAGAAUAAAGAAAGAAAGAAAAGCUCACCAUCUACUGCGAGAACUGUGUCUCUGUCUCUCAUCAGUUAAACACUCACUCAAGUGUGUCAUAUCUACAUUAUUGAAGAUGGGAAUGCAGACAGAUGGAUUGAAAUCAGCUGUAUAAAGAUUUACAAAGAAUUUAUUAAAAAUAUUUGAGUGAGCAUUUUCUAUCAAAGACUGAUUCUCAUGAUAAUCUUUGAAAGAGAGGCAAGAUGAAGUAUGUAAAAGACAAUAGAAAGGAGAUGAAUAAAAGGA
rnacentral:sRNA from 1 species